GAUGAACGCUGGUGGCGUGCCUAACACAUGCAAGUCGAGCGAUUCUCUUCGGAGAAGAGCGGCGGACGGGUGAGUAACGCGUGGGUAACCUGCCCUGUACACACGGAUAACAUACCGAAAGGUAUGCUAAUACGAGAUAACAUGCUUUUAUCGCAUGGUAGAAGUAUCAAAGCUUUUGCGGUACAGGAUGGACCCGCGUCUGAUUAGCUAGUUGGUGAGGUAACGGCUCACCAAGGCGACGAUCAGUAGCCGACCUGAGAGGGUGAUCGGCCACAUUGGAACUGCGACACGGUCCAAACUCCUACGGGAGGCAGCAGUGGGGAAUAUUGCACAAUGGGCGAAAGCCUGAGGCAGCAACGCCGCGUGAGCGAUGAAGGCCUUCGGGUCGUAAAGCUCUGUCCUCAAGGAAGAUAAUGACGGUACUUGAGGAGGAAGCCCCGGCUAACUACGU
rnacentral:rRNA from 1 species